CUGAGUACAAACAUCAGGGAUUCAGACAUUCCAAGCUGAUCUUCUACCUUGCAGGCUUCAAAUCCAUCUUAUCUUAAAAGAAUGCAUCCCCUUUUAUCUACUUUUUUUUAAAAAAAGAAUCCUUGCAAGUACCCUGGCUGAGAACUUAAAGGAAAUCGUCUGAAAGUCGAACAUUUGUCUUCAUCACGGUUUUCCAAACGAAGGGAAAAACUCAGCCAAAACGCAUCAACUUUCAGAGACCAAGAGAAGCUGAUGAACGUGACCCGGAUGUUCCCGUGGGAGAGCGAAAAGGCCUAAAAACCACAGAAGCUCAGGACUUGCGCCCAUGGCCGCCUGCACAGCCAGCAGAAAUAGGGGGAGCGGAAGGCCCCACCCCACAGGCCAGAGAAGGGCCCUGGGCCGAGAGAAGACAAGAGCUGCCCAGAAGAUUAUGGAAAGCCCGAAGCACACAGAGCCCACCUGGAGAAGUGGAGGGGUGCUCAGACGCUGCCCGCAGGUCACUCUGUGGAGCUGGUGAGGUUCCCGGAUGAUGAUCAGUGGCUGUGGUGGAAAGUGGAGGUGAAGUUAACACCUUCACGGCUACAGAUUUUCCUUAGCAGAGCUGUGGAGUGUGACAAUGGUGUUUGUGUCCAAACUAUCAAACGCCAUUAUCACACUAAAUAGCUACUGUUAGGCAAUCCUUCCACUCAGUGAAGGCCUUGGCAUCUGUUAGGUUUGGGCAAGAAGGCUCAUCUUGUAGCAGUGCUCUCAAUCAUGUGUAAUUACUGAAUAAAUUCCGGUCCUUUUGUGCUCAUAACCAAUAUGUCAUCUGAACUUUGCCUCUCACAUGCCAUUGUUAAAUACUUUAGCCGAUGAUGAAUUGUCUUGUUUUCCUGAGUCAAUAGAAAGAUUGCCGUGUUCCCCAGAGCACCCAGCAGAAGGCUAGGCACAUAGGAAUUGUUCAACCCAUGCUUAUUGAGUUGAAAUGAAUAGUUAGGAAAAUGUUAGAUGCCAAAAACUAAAACUGGAUUAAAGCUAGGUUGUGAAAACCACAGGCUUAUGGAUGCAAAAUUAAGGUUUGUCGGUCCUUCACGUUGCAUCAUAAAAAACAACUUUCUGAUAACUUACACAUGUCUCUUAACUGACCUUUCAGAAAUUCUAGAACAUGUGUGAUUUCUACUGAUUUUAAUCAAUUGCCAGGCUGAUUACUGAAUUUGUGUGCUGGAUUCUUAUUCCUUAUGUUUCGAUGAAUCACCAUCAGGAAAUUAUACACGAACUAUGUGUGCGUUGCCAUGGCAAACCUGAACAUUUUAAACCCAUGCAGCUUCUGGGACAAUUGGACCAGCUGGGUGGUCUGGUUUGAAACACAUCCUUUCUCUGACAGGCAUGUAAAGUAAGGAGUAGAUUCUGUUUGUGCUGGGCUAAAGCUGUUCUCCUCUGACUUGGCGAAGUGAACUGGUACAUGUGUAAUCAAAUUGAAGGGUUGGAGCAACCAUCAGAAACAGGUUCAUUCAAUCAUCCAUUUGCCAAAUAAAUAUGUGUAUUCAGUGGCUGCCAUGUGUCUGGUACUGCCCUGGGCACUCGGGAUACUCGUAAAUUAAAUGUGUCUGACAUAAUUUCCAGACAUGGGCGUUCACUGGCUCGCAUUCUGUUUGGGACCAUUCUAAAUGUUCUAAAUUAUGUUUACCAGGGAACCAAAUGAGCAAAACUUUGCAAAAUAAUUCCAAGCCCCUUGCUGGAAAGCACCAGGUGAGUGUAGUCCACACAUCUAUGAUACACUGCAAAGGUUCCGAGGUCCUGAGAAGCUUCCAUCCAAAGAAGAGGAAGUCCAUUCCUUCCUGCCCUUCCUCUCCUUCCACCUCCCAUUCCUUCCCUCCUGGCAUCAUCCACUCUCAAGAGGAGAACCAGACCCCCUAAAAUAAUUAAUGCACUGACAUUCCUUUUUUUUUUGCUUUUCUGGAGAAAGCACUGAUUGAACAAGCAUUGGUAGAGGGCUCUACUGUUACACAAAUCUCUCCUGUGCACGUUAUUUCCUUUGAUCUGUGCAAGAAAGGGCAAAGAUGACAGAUUUGGGCGCUUUCCACAGACAGCAAACUGAGACCGAGAGUGGUUCUGGAAUCGGCUGGUCAUGCAACCACUACUCAACUUGGGUCUCCUAAAUCUAAAGUUCUCUCUUUUACUUAUAGCCUUCCUUGGCCUAGUGUUUCCACAAAACCUCAUGCUUCACAGCUGAGGCUAUGUAGAAGUUGGGUUUCUGAGGGAAAGUCUGCAGGAUAAGAGAGAGAUAAGCCAUAUGACCAUCUUUCCUUGUGAGUGUUCCACAAUGCAGAGAAAGACAAAUACUGUGAAACACCAUCAUCAUGAAGUGAAGGGAAGGGAAGGAACAGCAAAGUGGUAGUUUUGGGGUCAGGAAGGGGGUGGCCAAACUGUCCAGACAUGGACCAGCCAACUUAGCGCCCCAGCCAACUGACGUGGCCCUCACUGACCCAGAGCCUGCAGGCUCCCAACCCUUCUCAGGCUCACGGACAAUGUGAGCACAGCCUCAGGCACAAUUCCUCCUCUCUCCCACCACCCUGAGACUUUCCUCAGAUGGAAUGAAACAGGCAGCAAAAGGAAGGGCAUUCUACAUCUUUUCUACUAGGUUGGCUCCCGUAGCGGCUUAUUAUGAUUCCUGUCUGGGUUAGUUCUGCAUCCAGGCUUGGGGACCUGUUUUUUCCAUAGAUCUCUAAGGAGCACACGUGGAAGGCAAGGCUUCCACUCCCCCAUCUUAAAGCCAUAUCUGACCCUGUCCUGCUGCUCCAACUCUCUGAUCACAGCAUCCUUCCCCAGCCUAGCUUUCAUCCCCUCCCUGGCCCAUCCCACUGGGAUGAUCACUGCCAGUCUUCCCCAAUAGAGCACUAUUCCUGGGGAUGCUUACUGCCUCCAAACGUAGUUUGCCAGCUGGAGGGGCCACUUGGAAGUGCAGUUAAAAUCGCACUGGAGCGGGGGAGGCGGCAGAGCCCCCGGGCAGCCACACUGAGAUGUUUUCUUCCCCUGGAGACAGGCGUUACUUUGCUUCGUGAAUCAUGCCGGUGAGGUCCUGUGACUCCUUCGUCUUAGUACAAUGUGCAUGUCGAACGUGACAAUAGCCAGUAGGGCCUGUCCCAUGUUCCAGCCAACCCCAGAGGAGGUUUUGUGAAACAGCACAGCAGUAUCACAUGUAGAAGGCUCAUCUACACAGUUUUAUGAACUCUUCUUAAAUCUAUGUUUUCCACUUGGUAUACUUCCAUGAAUCCAAAGAUAAUGUUAGAACUGGAACCCAGUUUACUGUUUGUACUGAAGAGGAAAUUGAAGCCCGGAUAGGUUAAGGAACAUGCCCGAGGUCGUUCAGCUAGUCUCUGGGUGAGCUGGACCCUGAAGCCAGGUUUCCAGGCUUUGCCACUUCAUCCCAGUGGUGUCCCGUAGCUGUUGCCUUCCUAGAGCAGGCAGGAGAGGACUCAGGCAGUACCCCCUGAAUGAGUGCCUGGAUGCCAGUAAAGUCCUCUUCCCUUUGAUUUGUCUGAGCACUGUCUUCUCUGGAUUUCAAAGGGAUCCUCCCUAGUUUGGCGUUCUGGAAUUUGGUGCAUGGGUCCAGGUUCAUGCUCCCUCUUCACUGCGUUGUCUGCCAUUCACUGCACAGACGUGGGUUGUGUGAUUACUAUAUGCCUGGUACCAUGCUGGGCUCUGGGGACACAGAGAAGAAGGAGCCCACGUCCCUUCCCAGAGCUGCUCUCCGUCUAGGAGUUAGUCUCCUAAACAGAGACAUUCAGGCCUCAAGGAGCUAAACGCCAUAGACACCAUAGCUAGACAGAGCCGUAGACAGGGUGCCCAAAGACUUUAAUUAUGCCUUUCGUUUCUUUUCAGAUGAAGAAAGACUGAGUCUUUGAUGUUAUAACAUUUUUGUUACUAUUGGGAAAAUAAUCACUCUUUUUCUGUUAAUGAUUCAGUCACCUACAGGCUGUAGAUAAAGAGCACGGUGUUGUACUUGGGGGCAAAGCUGUAAUACGAAGAGCUGGCUGCUUUUCCCUGGCCGUGUGCCAGCGUGAUGUGCCGCACCGGGUCUGUUGAGGCCCUUGGGAAGGUAGAGGAGAUGGUUAGAACACUUUUCAGUUAUAUAUGUGAAGAAUUUUUAUUUCUCAGAGGAGCAGGGUAAGACACGAGCUGGUUGUCUUUCACAGUGCCCGCUGGGUUAGUGCUCACAAUGCCAGGUCAUUAGGCCGUUUCCUCCAUUGCUGCCUCUUCCUCUAUCCUCAAAAGCCUACUCCAAGGCCAGCAGUUGCAUACUGACUCCUCCUCAUUUCCCGCUCCCUGGGAUACGCUCAGGAAGCCACUGGGUAUAAACCUAUGGCAGGAAUCCCCAGGGCCUGUGGAGGAGUAGAGAGAUUGGGCAUCCCCUUCUUCUCUUUGACAUCUGAGUUCACUUCCAAGCUUUCCGAAGGAAAGGGAGGCGUCCCAAAACGCACACAAGUUCACAAAAAUGUAGAUGGCUACUGAGGAUUCCAAAGGGCCUGCUCAUAAGUAGCCAAAUUUAGAAAGCAGGGUCACCAUAUGUGUUCUGAAAAAUGAUUUAUGUGACACAAAUUUACUGUGUACUUGGAAUAUCUAAACACUGUGCAUAGGAUGCAAAGAUGAGUAAGAAAAUCACUCCUUCCCUCCUUCAUUCAUUCAACCAUGUGUUCCUACUAUUGUGUCAGACAUUGUGCUGAUCACUGAGAAUUCAAAAAUAAGAUGCUCUCUCUAGACUAUAGUGUUGACAAUCUAAUGAGGACAGAGACAGGCAAAUGAGUGACAGCGGUCCUGAGCUGCGGAUUUUUGCGGUAGGUGUGGGGUGCCUUGGGGGCCUCUAGAAGGAAACACCAUCUGUGGUCUGGGAGAAAGACAUGAGUAAGAACGAGAGACAAGCGUUCCAGUGCAGGAGCACUCCAGUGCUUCCGGCAGCCGCCCAAUCAAAGAGAAAGUCGUGACCUCGGCAAGCGAAGUGUAGAAGUUCUCACCUUGACAAAGGUUGAGUUACCUUCAAGUUUCCAAAGCAUUCUCCAGCAAUUCCCUCCAGACAGCAGUUGAGCUAUGAACCUGGAAUUUAUUUGGUGGGGAUUUUCCCUCUCAAAAAUGCAACCGAACAUCCACAGAAGAAAGAUCAGCUUUUAAUAAAAGAAGCACAUUGUGCUAUUUGGUAAGUGAUGGGGGCAGGUGUAUGUGUGUGACUAUGUGUGUUUGUAGUGCACCUGUGUGCAAAGAAUUUUAAUUUCCCGAAGGAGCUGGAUAAAAUGCCUUUAAAGUCUCAUUCAACUGGGACAUUUUUUUUUUUGAAACCAGGGAAAAGCCAGUGCUGUGAUCUUCAAGGUGGGCUGAAGGAGCAUCUUCCCACUCCCAGUCCUUGGAGCCUGGGGUCACUCUUUACGUGGGAUACUGCCGCCCCGUGGCAGGAUACGUCCCUGCGCAUCGUAGCAUCAGUGGUUCAUAAGGAUUUCCAGUUUGCUGCCUGAGUAUUCCAAACGGAUUGCAUUCAGAGCUUCCCCUGACAGCCGGAUCUGGCUUUAAUUUUGAUAAAGUAAGUUUCAAAGGCUUGAGGGGGAGAAAGAGAGGAGUGGAAGAGACUGUUCUAUUGAGUGUCUGUUGACCCAUUAAAUACACGAGACAAGAGCUAAUCUUGUUCUACCUAGAGAACGAGUCCCUUCCUUUUCACUUUUCUGGCACAUUUAGCCCAGUCAAGAGCUAAUUAAAGUCCUUCCCAUUUCUUAAGGCUGCCUGUCUUCUGUGCAGUGCAUCCUGUCGUGCUUAUCUGCUUGGCUUCCAACUGCAGCUGGAUACAAAGAGGUCAUAGAUUACCUCCCACUCUUUGGAUGUGUCAGCUACUGUAUCUACAGGCCUUCUCACUGAGCGCUAACAACUGUGCCCAAGAUGUUUCUCGCUAUCUCAGAUCAGAUCCUUUGCUCAGCAAUGAGAGUGAGUGCUAUGCUGGGUUGGGUAAAACAUGGAGAGGCCACUAUAAAUGUCCCAAAGGAAGUGGCUACAAAUCACCACCCCAAUAUGUAGGUGGCGUGUUAGGAAAUUUUGACUGCAAGAAGCAAUUUUUUCUUAAAUUAUCUCAAGUCAUUCAUUCUUACAACAAUAUUUCUUAAGCACCUACUACGUACAAGUCACUGAGCUGGGGAAAGUUUUUUUGAAGGGGCCACAUGGCAGUAAGGGGUCAGGAGUCACAUGGGAGCUCCCAAACAGUCCUAAGGGGGGGCCUCGUGGAAAGUGGCAGUCAGGAUUCAUGAGUGAUCCCGAGAUGGGGGUAUCCGGCCACCCCCAAGGCUGUAGAAAAAAAUCAAGCCUCUGCCAUUAUGGUGAUUCAUUUGAUCCAUUUUUCUGCUCUUCCUGCUGCCAUACCUGCCUCCAUCCUUACCUACAGUUUCUGCUCACCCAUAACUACUGCUCACUCACAUCUUCUGCCCAUUCUGGGGUCUCAUGGCCCCUGCUACUUAAUGGCCUCUGCUUGCCUGCCUCCUUUGGGUGUCUUUUCAGUUUCUUCAUGUGCUACCAAGUGACUUCCUCCUUCCCUGUGUCUCCAGUUGGAUCCCUAAGCUGGAAAACUGAUGGUUUCAGCUAAGAUGUGUGUUCCCGCUGGGGCAAAGAUUUCACACAAGGCCAUGACAUAGGCUGCUGGUCAACCUUUGGGGCAGGAGAAAACGCAGGGGUAUGUCUGAGAAAGUCUGAUGCAAGAACUAAUGGGUAAAUUUUAUUCUGAGUUGGAGUUAUCCAUUCUCCAGAUGAAAAGGUAGGGGAAGAAUUCUCAAGAAAAGGGUUGGCAUGUGUAAAGUCUUCAAGUGGGAUGGAGUUUGGAACAGCCCGAGAGCUUGAAGCUGACUGGUGUGUCAGGAACGUGACAAGCAAGCAGGAGAUGAGGCUAGAGAGGUGGGCAGGGCUGGCACUAGGAUAGAGGGGGAACACAUGAGGACGGCAGGCAGAUGGCCAGUGCUGCUUAGGGAUCACACACUCUACUGACGGGUCACCAAGACCAGGAGUGGACAAUCUACAGCCCGUGGGCCAAACCUAGCCCACCGCCUGUUUUUGUACAAACCAAGCACCAUUUUUAUAUGUUUAAAUUUUUGAAAAAAAUCAAUAGAAGAAUACUAUUUCAUGAUGUCAAAUUUAUAUGCAAUUCAAAUUUCACUGUCCAUAAAUAAAAAGUUUUAUUGGAAUUUACCAACCGUCCCAAUUUGCCCAGACUACCUCAGUUUAGCACUGAAAGUCUUAGAGCCUGGAAAAGCCCUCAGUCCCAGGCAAAUGGGGAUGUUGGUCACCUGGCACACAGCCAGGCUCAUCUAUUUCCAUAUUGUCUACAGCUGUGUUCACGCUCCGACGGCAGAGUUGAGUAGUUAUGACAGAGGCCAUAGGGCCUGCAAAGCCUGAAAUAUUUACUAUCUGGCCAUUUAUAGAAAAGUUUGCUGAUUCUUGAUUAAGACCAAAGAAGAGUAAAUAAUUUAUCUGAUAAGUUAUCUAAUAUAACUGAUUGUUGUUGUCACAAGAGUGUUGACCCUGCCUAUUUAUUUUCUCCAUUGGAACCUGAUUCAUUUUUAAAACCUAAAUUAGAUCAUGUCACUCUGCUGCUCAAGAGCCUUCAAUGGCUCCCCAUCCCACUGGGAAUAAAACCUAAGGAUCACUUACAUCCUUCUCAAACAGACUUCAUCUCCUGCUCUUCCAUGCCAUGCCCACUCCCUUGCUGAUUCUCAAACAAGCCAAGUGCCCUCCUGCCUCCGGACCUUUGCACUUGCUGUUCCCUCCCUCUAGACCCUUUCUCCCAGAUAUAUGCAUACCUCGCUCCUUCACAUCAUUCUGUUCCUAUUCAAAGUCGUCUUUUCAGUGAAGCCUUCCCCCUCAUUUAGCAUUCUCCAUCUCCAGACAUCACUUAUCCAUUUGUUGAUUUUCUGUGUCCACACUAGAAGGCCAGACACUUGAGGACAGGGACGUUGCUGUAUCCCCAGCUCACAGAACAGUGCCAAUCACAUGGUGGGUUUGUGACAAUUAUUUAUUGGAUAAAUAAAAGGUUGGUAAAGUCCAAGAAUUUUAUGCACGUGUCCAGGGCCAUGUCCCAACUCAUUGGACCAUAUUACUGCUAAUCAAUAUUUCAUUUUAGCCAACAUCCAUCCUGUUACAAUUAUGUGGCUGCCUGUGUCUGUCGCCCACUGGCUUCUUUUCC
rnacentral:lncRNA from 1 species